UACGGAGGGUGCAAGCGUUAUCCGGAUUCACUGGGUUUAAAGGGUGCGUAGGUGGGCAAGUAAGUCAGUGGUGAAAUCUCCGGGCUUAACCCGGAAACUGCCAUUGAUACUAUUUGUCUUGAAUACUGUGGAGGUCAGCGGAAUAUGUCAUGUAGCGGUGAAAUGCUUAGAUAUGACAUAGAACACCAAUUGCGGAGGCAGCUGGCUACACAAAUAUUGACACUGAGGCACGAAAGCGUGGGGAUCAAACAGG
rnacentral:rRNA from 1 species